rnacentral:lncRNA from 10 species
CUUGCCGCAGCACACUCUCUAAUCGAGCUGUAACACUCGCCACUGCCGUCCACGGCUUCAUUCCUUGAAGCCGUGAGACCACGAACCCUUCGAUUGAGAAGAACCUUCGGUCGGAAGAAGACUUCUCGUCUCAGUAACAAUAACAAGAAAAACAGCCUAGACUAGACGCACAUCAGGAAGACAGUUAAUCCCGUCAUGUAUUGACCCGGAAACAUCAUCUCAUUUGCCUAUAAGACAGAGAGAGAGAAUGAUAGAAAUGCUGGAAGAACGAGCCUUGGGGCGGUAUCGCCCAGAUCUGAAUCCACACAGCAGCUGCUUCGGUCCCUGUAACUCAAGGCUUCCUCUUAAUCCUCUGUCCUCCAUCAACACCUGGCUGAGCAGGAACAACUAUGACCUAGGACCAGGGCCUUCAGGAAUCUUCACCCCUAACUUGAACUUCAUAACACUGGAGAGAGAGACUGUGGAAUGGAAUGACUCUCCAGAGCUGCAGAUUGAAGGCAUAUUUUCAUCUGACUUUGAUCUCAAUGGCGGGAACACCUUCAUGGCCCCUUUAUAGCUGGUAUGUUUUCUUCUUAUGGACAAUGAGAAACAUGUAAUAAACUGUGUUUCCUUCUCGCUAGG